CUGGUUUGAAAACUGCUGUUCCUUAUGAUUACCUGGAUACUAGUCCAGGUAGUGGUUGGGAUGAGUUUCUUAAAAAGGCUGAUGAGGAAUUGGGACAACAGAUCAGGUCUCCUCAAGCAGGUGCUUGAUUGCUAGAUGUUCAAUGACGGAGAGAAAUAUCAUGGACCAGGACAGUCUUCCUGAGAACUUGGGUUUUACUCAUUCUUGUGUGCAUUGGAUGUAAUUUACUGUAAUCACAAAGGGCAG
rnacentral:misc_RNA from 1 species